AUUGUCUUCGACGAAAUAGCGCAGCCUCCGCGUUUCUUCGGUCCUUCCAGCCCACCUUCUCCUGCCCCUUAAUUGCCUCUAAGUUUCUUUCCCAACGUUCAUAUAAAUUCCUCUCAAACCUCUUUCUGCGUCUCAUAUCCUCUUGUCUUCUCGCUUUCACAUACCCCCUCUGAGUUCCCUCCCCAGGCUCCGUUUUUGUUUCUUCUUCUUUUAUACUAGUGUGAGAGAUCAUUAUCAGUUUUGAAGAUGAGUUCCAUGAGAUUGCAUGCUCUUCCCAUCAUUGGCUUCAUGUUCUUGGCACUCUUGGGGUUUGGUUUCGGUCAAGGCACGGCUCCUUCCCCUGCAGAAGGCCCAUCUAAUGAUGGCAAGACAAUUGAUCAAGGAAUUGCUUACAUCCUUCUCAUGCUGGCCCUUGCAAUCACAUAUCUCUUCCAUUGAUGUAUUUUCUCUUAGACCAGUUUAAUGUUUUCAAAUUCUUUAUGUACUCUCUCCUCAUAUUCCUCUGGAGAAAUUGCGGCGAUUGUUUUAUCUAUUCAUCUCCUUGUAAUAUAUGCUAUGCUGCUUGAGCACUGAUCAGAGAAGAAUUUUAGGGAAAUUUGAUUUGCCUCCCUCUAGUUUA